GACGAACGCUGGCGGCGUGCCUAAUACAUGCAAGUAGAACGCUGAAGGAGGAGCUUGCUUCUCUGGAUGAGUUGCGAACGGGUGAGUAACGCGUAGGUAACCUGCCUGGUAGCGGGGGAUAACUAUUGGAAACGAUAGCUAAUACCGCAUAAGAGUGGAUGUUGCAUGACAUUUGCUUAAAAGGUGCACUUGCAUCACUACCAGAUGGACCUGCGUUGUAUUAGCUAGUUGGUGGGGUAAGGGCUCACCAAGGCGACGAUACAUAGCCGACCUGAGAGGGUGAUCGGCCACACUGGGACUGAGACACGGCCCAGACUCCUACGGGAGGCAGCAGUAGGGAAUCUUCGGCAAUGGACGGAAGUCUGACCGAGCAACGCCGCGUGAGUGAAGAAGGUUUUCGGAUCGUAAAGCUCUGUUGUAAGAGAAGAACGAGUGUGAGAGUGGAAAGUUCACACUGUGACGGUAUCUUACCAGAAAGGGACGGCUAACUACGUGCCAGCAGCCGCGGUAAUACGUAGGUCCCGAGCGUUGUCCGGAUUUAUUGGGCGUAAAGCGAGCGCAGGCGGUUAGAUAAGUCUGAAGUUAAAGGCUGUGGCUUAACCAUAGUAGGCUUUGGAAACUGUUUAACUUGAGUGCAAGAGGGGAGAGUGGAAUUCCAUGUGUAGCGGUGAAAUGCGUAGAUAUAUGGAGGAACACCGGUGGCGAAAGCGGCUCUCUGGCUUGUAACUGACGCUGAGGCUCGAAAGCGCGGGGAGCAAACAGG
rnacentral:rRNA from 1 species